rnacentral:lncRNA from 1 species
UUGGCUAGUAUUGAAUCGCUUUGGCUUGGACCAAACAGCUUCUCGGGAAGCAUCCCUGCAGAGAUUGGCUUUCUGACGAAGCUGAAAAUUCUGUCACUGCAAGAUUGCAAGUUAACAGGAAAAAUUCCCAGAGAAAUCUCCAACCUUAAAAGUUUGACAGAUUUGGAAAUAUCAGAAAAUAGCUUCGAGGGCGAGCUNCUGUCACUGCAAGAUUGCAAGUUAACAGGAAAAAUUCCCAGAGAAAUCUCCAACCUUAAAAGUUUGACAGAUUUGGAAAUAUCAGAAAAUAGCUUCGAGGGCCAGCUGCCCCAAGGAAUUGGGGAGUUGAAAGAUCUUGUGUACUUACUUGCUUCGACUACCGGACUUAGUGGGCUAAUUCCGGAGCAAUUAGGCCACUG